rnacentral:rRNA from 1 species
UAGGGAAUCUUCCGCAAUGGACGAAAGUCUGACGGAGCAACGCCGCGUGAGUGAAGAAGGAUUUCGGUUCGUAAAACUCUGUUGUUAGGGAAGAAAAAAUGUAUAGUAACUAUAUACAAAAGAGACGGUACCUAACCAGAAAGCCACGGCUAACUACGUGCCAGCAGCCGCGGUAAUACGUAGGUGGCAAGCGUUGUCCGGAAUUAUUGGGCGUAAAGCGCGCGCAGGUGGUUUAGAAAGUCUGAUGUGAAAGCCCACGGCUCAACCGUGGAGGGUCAUAGGAAACUAAUAAACUUGAGUGCAGGAGAGAAAAGUGGAAUUCCUAGUGUAGCGGUGAAAUGCGUAGAGAUUAGGAGGAACACCGGUGGCGAAAGCGGCUUUUUGGCCUGCAACUGACACUGAGGCGCGAAAGCGUGGGGAGCAAACAGG